rnacentral:rRNA from 1 species
GACGAACGCUGGCGGCGUGCUUAACACAUGCAAGUCGAACGGAAAGGCCCUGCUUUUGUGGGGUGCUCGAGUGGCGAACGGGUGAGUAACACGUGAGUAACCUGCCCUUGACUUUGGGAUAACUUCAGGAAACUGGGGCUAAUACCGGAUAGGAGCUCCUGCUGCAUGGUGGGGGUUGGAAAGUUUCGGCGGUUGGGGAUGGACUCGCGGCUUAUCAGCUUGUUGGUGGGGUAGUGGCUUACCAAGGCUUUGACGGGUAGCCGGCCUGAGAGGGUGACCGGCCACAUUGGGCCUGAGAUACGGCCCAGACUCCUACGGGAGGCAGCAGUGGGGUAUAUUGCACAAUGGGCGGAAGCCUGAUGCAGCAACGCCGCGUGCGGGAUGACGGCCUUCGGGUUGUAAACCGCUUUCGCCUGUGACGAAGCGUGAGUGACGGUAAUGGGUAAAGAAGCACCGGCUAACUACGUG